UACAGAGGGUGCAAGCGUUGUUCGGAUUUACUGGGCGUAAAGCGUACGCAGACGGUUUGGUAGGUCGGAUGUGAAAGCCCCGGGCUCAACCCGGGAAUUGCAUCCGAAACCACCUCACUCGAGUGUGGGAGAGGGAAGCGGAAUUCCUGGUGUAGAGGUGAAAUUCGUAGAUAUCAGGAGGAACACCGGCGGCGAAGGCGGCUUCCUGGCCCAUUACUGACGUUCAGGUACGAAAGCGUGGGGAGCAAACAGG
rnacentral:rRNA from 1 species